UAUGAUGCAUUGUUGAGAAUGU
rnacentral:snRNA from 1 species